AUUGAACGCUGGCGGCAGGCCUAACACAUGCAAGUCGAGCGAGCGGCGGACGGGUGAGUAAUGCCUAGGAAUCUGCCUGGUAGUGGGGGAUAACGUCCGGAACCGGUCGCUAAUACCGCAUACCCUCAGAUGUGCCCAGAUGGGAUUAGCUUGUUGGUGGGGUAACGGCUCACCAAGGCGACGAUCCCUAGCUGGUCUGAGAGGAUGACCAGCCACACGGGAACUGAGACACGGUCCAUACUCCUACGGGAGGCAGCAGUGGGGAAUAUGGCACAAUGGGUGAAAGCCUGAUGCAGCUAGGCCGCGUGUAUGAAGAAGGCCUUCGGGUUGUAAAGUACUUUCAGCGGGGAGUCGUUACCCGCAGAAGAAGCACCGGCUAACUCCGUGCCAGCAGCCGCGGUAAUAC
rnacentral:rRNA from 1 species